rnacentral:rRNA from 1 species
AUUGAACGCUGGCGGCGUGCUUAACACAUGCAAGUCGAUCGGUAACAGGUGUAGCAAUACAUGCUGACGAGAGGCGGACGGGUGAGGAAUAUUUGGGAAUCUGCCCAUCAGCGGGGGACAACCCGGGGAAACCCGGGCUAAUACCGCAUACGCUCUACGGAGGAAAGCCGGGGACCGCAAGGCCUGGCACUGAUGGAUGAGCCCAAAUCGGAUUAGCUAGUUGGCGGGGUAACGGCCCACCAAGGCGACGAUCCGUAGCUGGUCUGAGAGGACGAUCAGCCACGCCGGAACUGAGACACGGUCCGGACUCCUACGGGAGGCAGCAGUGGGGAAUAUUGGACAAUGGGGGAAACCCUGAUCCAGCGACGCCGCGUGGGUGAAGAAGGCCUGCGGGUUGUAAAGCCCUUUCGGUAGGGACGAAAGCUCUUGCUCUAACACGUCGGGAGGUUGACUUAACCUACAAAAGAAGCACCGGCUAACUCUGUGCCAGCCGCCGCCGUAACAC